GCAAAUGCUGAGAACGAGACUAGUAGACUUCCAGCGAAGCUCAGAGAGCCGGGUAAGGUGCGAGCCGGUGCUAGCGCAGAGGCCGAAUGGACUCGGGAGCUGCAAACCGAAAGGGAGUUUCCCAAUUAGGCUUUGACGGAGUGGACACCGUUAUCGGAGUCCAGGGUAUCGCCUCAGAAUACUGAGGCCGUACCUGAUUGAGAUGAUUGCCUAAUUUAGCUGACAAUCAAUUAGGGUGGUACCGCGAAGCAAAACCUCUCGCCCCUAUG
rnacentral:ncRNA from 1 species